UCUAAUUUCAAAGAUGCGCAGAUUUUACUUUGUUCCUUUACUUUUUUGCAGUUGGCUCUAGCUGACUACAUGCUAUGCACGACCUUUCCCUAUUUGGAUGCGUAAAAUUCUUCUAGUCCUUCCCUUGUUGGUUGCUUUUUUGACAAUUAACUUGCUCAUCAAAGAUAUAUUCUGGAUUUUAAGUAGUUAAAUUAGAGUGAAUCAUC
rnacentral:lncRNA from 1 species